CAGUCGCCACGGGAAUACGAAGGGUGCAAGCGUUACUCGGAAUUACUGGGCGUAAAGCGUGCGUAGGUGGUGGUUUAAGUCCGUUGUGAAAGCCCUGGGCUCAACCUGGGAAUUGCAGUGGAUACUGGGUCACUAGAGUGUGGUAAAGGAUAGUGGAAUUUCCGGUGUAGCAGUGAAAUGCGUAGAGAUCGGAAGGAACAUCUGUGGCGAAGGCGACUAUCUGGGCCAACACUGACACUGAGGCACGAAAGCGUGGGGAGCAAACGGGAUUAGAUACCCCUGUAGUCCCUGUCUCUUAUAC
rnacentral:rRNA from 1 species